UUUCACAUCCACACAACCUAAAACCUUAUCCCCUUUCUCUCUCUUCUCUCUCAUGUCUCUCUCUAGAAAACGCAGGCUACCACCCUAGGUGGCGGAGUCACGGCGGCAACACCAACUACCACCAUCACCAAAAACCUUAGGCACCCACCUACCACCACUUGCAACUCCAGUUCCUUUGGUCCACCCUCAUUCCACCUCACAUCCCGUCUCUCCUCCAAAUCUACCCAACCUCCAACCUGAAGAGCCCCAUCAGCAAAUCGAGUUGGGUUGAACUUCCUAGCCCUCUCCAACCUCCAACAUGGACAUUUUCGACAUCCACAACGUCAAAUCGGAAAAAAAUAACACUAUCCUACAGUACCAGCGGUUUAAAAGAAUCGCUAAACUAUUCCGUCUCGUUGAGCUGUUAUCAGCUGUGGUGUUACUCUCCUGGAUCUCAACUCGACUCCCGUUCGUCAUCAAACUUUCCGGCGAGUACUUCCGUCAGCUUCUCUCCGUUAUCGUUAGUCCUCUCUUCAUUUUUCUCAUCGAUGUGUUUAUAACAUUUUCAUCUACGUUUGUGUAAAAGAUGGUGGCCCAACUCGCGCGGGAAGUAGGAGUUCUCAUGGAUCUCACAACGCGUGGUGGUUCUUAAUUGAACCGAAUCCUAUCCGUCUUUAUUUCAAAUAUUUAAGUUGACUAAUAUUUCUUGUUAGAUUAGAUUUGAUAAACCUUCCAAAAAAAUCGGUCCUUAGUUUAAAUAUAUCUUUAAUUUACAAGUUUUAAUGAUAACUAGGUGUUUACCUUGCAAUA